rnacentral:rRNA from 1 species
CGAGUCUUAACUGGGCGAAUUAGUUGCAGGGUAUAGACCCGAAACCCGGUGAUCUAGCCAUGGGCAGGUUGAAGGUUGGGUAACACUAACUGGAGGACCGAACCGACUAAUGUUGAAAAAUUAGCGGAUGACUUGUGGCUGGGGGUGAAAGGCCAAUCAAACCGGGAGAUAGCUGGUUCUCCCCGAAAGCUAUUUAGGUAGCGCCUCGUGAAUUCAUCUCCGGGGGUAGAGCACUGUUUCGGCUAGGGGGUCAUCCCGACUUACCAACCCGAUGCAAACUGCGAAUACCGGAGAAUGUUAUCACGGGAGACACACGGCGGGUGCUAACGUUCGUCGUGAAGAGGGAAACAACCCAGACCGCCGGCUAAGGUCCCAAAGUCAUAAUUAAGUGGGAAACGAAGUGGGAAGGCUCAGACAGCCAGGAUGUUGGCUUAGAAGCAGCCAUCAUUUAAAGAAAGCGUAAUAGCUCACUGGUCGAGUCGGCCUGCGCGGAAGAUGUAACGGGGCUAAAUUAUGCACCGAAGCCGCGGCAGCGAUAUGUAAAUAUUGUUGGGUAGGGGAGCGUUCUGUAAGCCUGU